rnacentral:sRNA from 1 species
AACUAAUAGAUUUUUUAAAAAUGUCUUGCAAAGAUUCAGUUCCUCUGACUUGCAAGUAAGUAGUGAAGGAGACUAAACAGUCUGCCUAUCUCAUUUUAAAAACUGGGUUUUCUCUUCUGACUGACAGCGUUGCAUUGAUGAAUCAUAGCUGUUGCCCCAAUGUCAUUGUGACCUACAAAGGGACCCUGGCAGAAGUCAGAGCUGUACAGGAAAUCGAGCCGGGAGAGGAGGUUUUUACCAGCUAUAUUGAUCUCCUGUACCCAACGGAAGAUAGAAAUGACAGGUUAAGAGAUUCUUAUUUCUUUACCUGUGAGUGCCAGGAGUGCACCACCAAGGACAAGGAUAAGGCCAAGGUGGAAAUCCGGAAGCUCAGCGAUCCCCCAAAGGCAGAAGUCAUCCGAGACAUGGUCAGAUAUGCACGCAACGUCAUUGAAGAGUUCCGGAGGGCCAAGCACUAUAAAU